rnacentral:rRNA from 1 species
AUUCGACCUCAAAUCAGGUAGGACUACCCGCUGAACUUAAGCAUAUCAAUAAGCGGAAGA